rnacentral:lncRNA from 1 species
AAGCGGAGGUUGCAGUGAACUGAGAUUGCGCCAUUGCACUGCAGCCUAGGCAACAACAGUGAAACUCUGUUUCAAAAAAAAGAAUUAGAUGGCAAUAGCUUUAGCAAUCUAAUGUGGUAGGUGAUCUGGUAUUAUCUGUCUCUUUGGUCACAUGAGGAUAAGGCUGCCCAUCUCGGUUAUCCAUGUCCUGGGCCUUAGGAAGAAGGCAGCCAGAAUCUUAGAAAUUUGAACUGAGAAAAUUGAACACAAGUUAGCAGCCUAAAAUAUAAAACUGAUAUAAAAAUACAACCAGAUUGUGUAUGAAUUAUUGUUUUCUCAUCUUUAUUUUGUGCAGAUCAAGAAACUGAACUUUGCAAGUAUUUUCUGUGAAAGGGUGAAUAAGCUAUCCAAAGUGAGUGAUUUUAGCCUGUGUAGAAAACAUCUCCAGCUGUGUUAAAUAUAAAGCUGUCAGUUCUUUGAAUAUCUCCUUGCAAUAAUUAAUCAUCCUUCUCAGUUAACAGCACAGACAGUACAGCACAGGUGUCUUCAGAAUUCGGCAAAGUAGAUGGGACUGCAGACGUUACCAUUCCCUGUGACUCUUGCUACGAUCUUACAGACUUCAUUGUGCUGGGCUUAGAUGUCUUCAGAGUCACCAGCUUUGUUUUUCAGUUCCAUGAAAUCAGCCUGCCUUUUCUUUUUUUGGUGAUACAUCCACAUUCUGUAUAGGUGAAAAGCAAAACAAACAAGUAUAAAACGAAAAUUAUGUAAGAAGUACACACAUCCUAGCAGCUUGGCAAGUGUCUGUAUGCUCUUGCCUGUGCCUAAAUCCAGAAUUAGAAUUCAUGCUUGGUGCUCCUGUGGAAGAUGUCUAAAUGUUAUGAGAAAUACAUGAUUAAAUAAAAAUGUGAAAUGAAAGCAUGGAGACUUGUUGAAGGUGAGUGCUGUUUUUCUAAUUAUAUAUUUUAUUUGUUUAAUGAAUAAUUUGUUAAUUUUCUUUGUCAUUACGAGAGAGCUGUUUUAUUCUGUACUUAGGUGCAUAGCAUACUAUGUUUUAGUGAGCUCCACAUGUUAAUUUGAAACUUGCCAAAUUUUUACAUUAUUUUAUAAUUUAUAGUACUUUGAGAAACAUAUUGCAAUGCAUUACAAAGCAUAUAAUGUAAAGGUAGUUUUAUGAAGUGUUUUUCUCCCAAAUUAAGCAUAUUUGGGAAUUGCCCAUCAAUUUGUUUUUGAACCUCAGUGCAUAAAAUAUAGAAUUUUUCUUUCAUAUGCUAGAUGUGAAAAAUACUCAGCAUAUGCAUGUGGUUUAGGCUACAAAAUAGCCUGUAGGUUAAAUUCCUAAUUCUAGUGUUUAAUUCAUUGCCUUUUUUCUUCUUGUUUAAUGGCCAUAUGUUUAUAUCUUUAUAUUACAUACAUUCCUGAUUAUGUAAUAAGGUCUUUGAUCAUGUGGGCUAUCAGAUUUGCCUCACUUUGUCUCUUAGAAGAAGCUAUACAUGAAACUAUGUUGUACUUAAGUGAAAAUUUGAGUAUUUUUCUUGUUUGAAUUAAUGCAGUGAAACAUUCUACUUACAGUUAGCUGUCUCCCACCCUUACAGGAAGGUACAUGCCUUCAUUUUUUAAAACACUGUAUAUUUAUUAGAAUUGUUACAGAAUUUUAGUAAAUAUAUUCUAAUCACAUAUUUUCUGAUUAAUGUGUGCUUAUCAGUUUUAAAUGUUAUGAAAUCUGGAUAUAUGUUAAAAUGUCUCAGUUUUCCCCUCUUGUUUACCAUAUUGCCAUUUGGUAUUAAUAGAUAACAUAAUGUAAAAUUGGAUGUCUUUGAUAAUUUUGGGAUAUGUUCUGAAAUUAAACUUGAACUUUUUUCUGUGAAUUUUGAAGAUUUGGUAUCUUAUAAUUAUUUGGUGAGCAUUUGGCAUGAAUUAUUUAGCUUCUCCCCUGUUUAUGAUUUAUUUCUCUUGUCAUCGAUUUCCAAUAGGAAAAUGUUAUGGUUCUAAAUGUCUCCUGUAGACUUCAGUAAUUGAAAAAUGUCAGUCAAGAUGGGGGGAAUCUGUAAUAUAUAAUAGAGUUUAUCUUUUAGUUAUGUUCAUUUCCACUUUUUUUAAUGUGUUUUUUUUUUAGUAAAUGUCAAAAGUGUUACUCAGUGCAACAUAUUAUGCAAUAUUAUAAUCAACUAACCUCUUCAUUGAUAAUGACUUCAUAUUGAGAGGUUUUUUAAAUCUAGAAAUAUUCUUGUUUUAAAUUCCAGGUUAAAAUGUAAAGGUAUUUUUAUUUUUUUAAUUUUAAUUCUUCUCAAAGCUACUAGUACAUUAUAAAACAACAAUUUCACAUUUAGAAUUUUUAUAUGUAUAUAAAUUAGGAUUAUUUUUUAAUAUUAGCCUUAACUUUCUUUAACUUUUAUGAAAAACAACUAGUCCCAAGGGUAUUUUUACUAUUUAAUAUACAUUAUUCCUGUGAUUCAAAAUCUUAGCAGUAGAACCUGUUGAGCUACUUAACUUUCUGUCUUGGGACUAUCCAGGUGCAGUUAUAACUGGUUUCAAAGUUGUGACCUUUUCCUUGCUUGUUUCAAAAUCAUUCCUUAAAAAAUGUUCAGUAUUUUUCUUUUGUCAAAAAAUAAAAACAGGAUUUGUGGGUUGUUCUGUUUUUUAAAAUUAGUUUGAGAAACUUCCUUUGCCACUUGUUUUCUGUGCAAAUGUUGUAAGAGCUCAAAUUCCCUGGGGGUAGGGAGGACUUUUAUAAGGUUUUUUUGGUUGAAGGGUAUAAAAGGCACUUAAAAGGUAUACAGUUACUUUUAUUUCGAUAUCCCAGUCAUUUUGACAUUAUGAUAAGCUUUCCCCACUUUAUAGGUUAUCUGAAAAUUUGGUGGGGGGCGGGUAUUUUAUUUAUACUUAAUAUAACAAAAUUAUUUUCCUAUGUGUAGUCAAUAGCACAUACAAAAAAUUAUCUCCUGUUUGUAGUCAGUAGCACAGUCAGUAUUCACCAAAAUACUGAGUUAUUUUUCAAGUAAAGGUAUAAGUAUGAAUGAGAAACAGUUUGUGGGUUGGGUAUUGUCAGUCCUUCUUUUUCAGAUAACUUUCUAAAUGGUCAUUCAAUCUGUAAUCUUAAACUUUUUUAAUGUUAUAAAUUCUUCAAAUCAGUAUUUGUAUUAAAUGCAGUGACCAGACUAUGUCACUGAUACAAUGUCAUGAUUAGAUGUGCAGAAGACUAUGUUACAUGGAUGAUAAAUGAACUUUUAACAUAUAGAAAUUAAUAUCAGAUUAAACUAAAACAUUAAGCAAAGUUAAUACAUGCUUGCAUACAUAUAUAUAUUUAUUUAUUAAUGAUAUGUGGAGAAUCUUUGUGCUUCAUAGUCACUAGACCUAAAGUAGAAGCAGUUGUCAAGAAUGUCCAACUGCUAUUCAUCUUUGUGGCCAAAGUAAAUUUCAGAUUUUUUUUUUGUAAUGGUUUUCUUUAGUCUCUUUAUUAACCCAUCAUCAUGACAAGUCUGUCAAGUGACACAUGUGAAAAGCAGAUGUCCUUUCUUAUUCCUGGUGCUUCCUAAGGAGGCAGUGCAAUGCAGGAGAAGGAACAUUAUUAGAGAUAAAGGAAAAAACCAGAAGUGCUUUCUCCUCUCACAUUCCACUCAACACUUCUCUCACCAAAUGUGUGUGGGGAUUUCUCUCCACCAACAACCAGCAGUUCUUUACUGCAGAUUCUCCAGUGGAUACCAGCCAGGUGUCCUCUAAUUCAGUUCAAUUCUGACAUUAUCUACUGGGAGAUAGUGUCAGAUCCCGCAAGUGGAGGGCUCAGUCCUACAAGACUACCCCUUACUUCAGAUGUCAGUCACAAGCAGUUAGCGGUUUGUGAUUCUGACCAACUGGCUAGAGGUCCCCCUCCUCAAGUGUGAUUAAUUUGCUAGAGCAGCUCACAGAAUUCAGGGAAACACUUUAUUUACAUUUACCCAUUUAUUAUAAAGGAUAUUAUGAAGGAUACACAUGAACUGCCAGAAAGACAAGGAGCAUAGGCAAGAUACUGAGAAGGGUCACGGAGCUUCUGUGCCUUCUCCAGGUGCACCACCCUCUGGGAAUAGUCAGUUCAUGUGUUCAGCUGUCUCGAAGCUCAUUCGAACCCUGUCCUUCUGAGUUUCUGUGGAGGCUUCAUUACGUUAAGGUUCAGAAAUCAAUACCCCAAAAUAUGGGGCUUUGACAUGCUGAAUUAAAGAAGCAGCCUCAAGGCCUCUUGGCCUUCUCCAGCUCUCCUCACCCAAAUCCUGUCUCUCCCAAAGCACAAGAUGAGGCUGUUCACCAAAGUUCCCUUAUUUACCUAGAAACUGGACCUUAAAGAGGAACACAGUUGCCUGCGAUUCCAUCCCUGUAAUUUUAUUAACCAGAGAUUAAAACUUAUAUCACAGAGGAAGAGACUAAAAAUUAAACACCACACCUGGAGCCCAGAUGACCUGUCCCAAUCUAUUAUCUGUUCUCCAGUCCCAUUUAGUUCCCAAAGGGAAUCAUUUACAAACCAUUGUCUGAUCUUCCGGCCCAUUUAUUUACAGCUCCCCCUCUUUCCCCAAUGAAAAUGAUACUUAAGUGUCAGCCAUCUAUCGGCUCUUUGAGUUUUCACAUUUUGUAUGACUCCUGUGCACACACAUGCAUGUAAUAACUGUUAUACUUGUUAACUUUUUUUCAUUAUAGGGGUAUCCACCAUGAUUAUAUAUGAUGGGGAGGAAAGGGAUUACUCCAUUUCUGCCCCUGCAGUCUGUAGGCAUGAUUGAUUACAUCAUUGGUCGCCGGUGAUUAACUCAGUCUCCAAGCCCUGUCGUGUCCCUGGAGGUUGGAGGGUGGCACUGAAAGCUCCAACCAUCUCAUCAUGCUUUGAUCUUUCCGAUGACCAGACCCCACCCUGAAGCUAUCUACGGGUCCCCAGCAACAUUCAUUUCGUUAUCAUACAAAUGACAUUCUUACAAUUUCAGAGAUUCCAAGGGCUUUAGGAAAUGGAGAUGAAGAGCAAAUAUAUAUUUCACAAUAUCACAAACAUACCCUUGGGAAUUAGACCUCUGAUCUAAUCUAGGCUCCCUCACUUGCCAUUUUUGUGACCUUGAACAAGUUGUUCAUCUUUUCUGGAUAGUUCUCUGUUAAAAAAAUUAAAAUAAAAAAAUGGUGGCUAUCAGGUUGUUAGGAGGACUAGAUAAGAGAACUAUGUGAAGGACCCUGCACAGUGCUAGCAACAAAGUUGUUUAGUAAGUGCUAUUUCAAUUUAUUUUGCUUCCAAGCUCAUGUGAGCUCCCUCAGUGUGUACCACCAAAUCACAUGAUGUGUAUCCCAGUCAAAUCUUAAAGGUCAUCCACCUUGAAUCUUUAAGUUAAUUAACGUGUGUUUUUAAAACUGCAUUAUAAGAACGUUAGGGUUUUUGUUUUGAUCCUAUGGAAGUUAAAUUUUUUACACAAGCAUUCAACUGUUUAGCUUCAAACUGAACAGAUAAAUAGUCUGUAUUAUUUCAUUAUGUAUUAAAAAAUGAUUAAGCCUGCCUCAGGCAGUUCAGGCAAAGCAGGUAAAAGAUUAUCAAGGAGUAACAUUAGAAAACACUAAUCAGAGUGCCUAAAAAGCUUUAUGCGGUCCAGGUUGUACAGGGAUGUUGGAACAGUAAAACAAACAAAACAUUACAAGGUAUGAAGCGUUCGAGAUAGGUAGAAUAGAGCAGGUUAUAUUAGAGAAGUCUCUUCUAAAAUUGUGUUGGCUAGCCUGGGAUUUGAACUUAUACCGUGUAUGUAUGUCCAUGUGUAACAGGUUGAACAUGCAAGAAGCAGUGUUCAUAAAAGGUGGCAAACUUGUUUUACUUGUUUCUCAGUCUUUUCAGAUCAGUACUUAUAAAACACUGAUAUUUACAGUAAAUAUCUUAUAUUAAAUAUUAGCUAACCCUAUUAAAUUGUGUGUCCUUGUGCUGCAGUCAUUUAAUGACCUCAUUCUUUGGUAAGUUGGCAUGUGAUUUGAGAUAGCUCUAAGUGCUAAUGGAUUGUUUGAAGGAGUUAAAGGCAAAACCAGGAAGAGAAAACUAUUUUUAGGAAAAAGCGAUCAUACAACAGGCCUUAAAUAGAAGAAAUGAGAUAUCUCUAUCUUUACUAUGUAACCUUUAAUUCCUUACACAUUUUGACUUCAUAUUUUUUGUAUGUAAAUGAGAAUGUUAUAGUCUUGUAAAUUCCUUUUCCUCUGUGACUACAUUCAGUUAUUUAUUUUAUUGUGUGUUUGUGCAUGUCGGUAGAGCACAGUAUUUAGUAGAAUGAGUUAUUGGUUAAACCACCUGGAUUCAUUUGUAAAAUGGGGCCACCUGUCUCUUAAAUUGUAAUGAGGAUUUGAUUAGAUAAUCUAGAUAAAUCACUUAGCACAAGAGUCUCCAGCCCCCGGACUCUUGACUGGUACUGGUCUGUGGCCUGUUAGGCACUGGGCUGCACAGCAGGAGGUGAGCAGGGAGCAAGCUAGCACUAGGGCCCAAGCUCCGCCUCCUGUCGGAUCAGUGGCAGCAUUAGAUACUCAUAGGAGCACAGACCCUGUUGUGAACUGUGCGUGUGAGGGAUCUAGGUUUCGUGCUCCUUACAAGAAUCUAAUUAAUGCCCGAUGAGUUGAGGUGGAACAGUUUCUUCCCAAAACCGUCUCAGGAAACCUGUCCCUGGUGCCAAAAUUUGGGGGACCUCUGACGUAGCACACUAUCUGGCACAUACCAAGCACUCAGAAAAUAUCCCAUUUCUCAAAACUCAGUUCCAGUGUCAAGUCUUAAUAGUAUAUUGAUCUUGGAACUCCAAGGUAGUUGGUCCUCUCUUUGUGCCAUAAAUGUGCCUUGUACUCAGUAGUGCUAAAUUGCUAUCAACUAGUGCUAAAUGUACUACUAAUUCAUCUGUGUGUCCACUUCCCUUCUUAGAUUGUGAGCCCCUUGAGGACAGAGAUGGGUUUACUCAUAUUUAUAAAUUCAUUGGCAUGAUAAAUAUUUGCUGAAAGAAUAAAAUUGUAUUCUUAUGUUUUAAGCAGGGUCCCCUCCACCUCUGAGUGGAAGAUGGUCUGGGAGCAAAGGUGACAGGUCUUCUAAAAAAUCUGGCCACAUUCUCAACCCACCACACCCCCGCUUUUUUAAACAGCUAUUUAAUUGCCAUUGUAAUCCUAAGGAUUGGAUCAAUUUUUCACUUCCCUUUUUCACACUUUUUUCCUUUUACUAAGAAAAUAAAGUAAUAAAGUGACUGCCAAAUGGAGAAAACUGUCCACUAAAUAUGAAUUAAUAAGUGCUAUUAUCAGAAAUUGUGUAAAAGCAACAUAAUGGCACUAUAAAAAGGUAUUAUCUUAGAAUCAAAAACCUUGGGUUUAUAUUAUAGCCCUGCUACUUUCUAGUCAUAUGACAGUGAUCAAGCUAUAUUACCUCUUUGGCUUGACAAAAUAGGGGUCAUCUCUAUUUCUGGCUUGUUAUGAUUGAUGUGAAAUAUUCAUACAAACUACCACUGUGCCUGGUAAGUAGAAGACACUCAAAUAUGUCUUGGAGUUACAGUUAAUACUGUAUCGUUUAAAUUUGAGAAAAACCAACUUUAAAAAAUCACAUAGAUACAGUUGUUUACUGCUAGAAAUUUUAUUUAAAUUAGUUGAUACUCUUGGUUAGGUAAUGAAAAACAAUGGUUUUAUCUCCAUUAUGCUGUGAUAGGGAAGAGUAACACAGUUCAAAUGGCAAAGGCAUACCUGACAAUUAAAAUGCAUAGUUAAAGGCUAAUACUUCCUGAACACAAGAAGACAAGUCUCUACUUGAUACUACUCUCCACAGUUAAAUCAUUGAUACUUUGUGCCAUACAGUGAAAACAGAACCAUCUAGGUGUUCACGGAUUGUAUUUUUCCUUAUGAAAGGUAGAAGGUUAGAGAAAAUUAUUCCCAAUACAAUUAAUACAAAUAAAAUUGGUUAUUAGGUGCCUUUUAAUUAGGCAGUAAGGGCAUAUGAAGCUUCAUUACCUAUGAGAAUUUUGUCAAAAUUAUUUCCCAGUUACCAUGUUUUAAAACAGCCUCUCAGAAUUCCCCACUUCUAAUUUCUCCUUUCUAUUCUACCAAUUUUACUCCAUACCUUUUUGCUAAAUAAACAUUUUCUUCCAACUCUGAGUUUGGUGUUUUUUUCAUUUGAUCUGCUCUUCAAAGUGUAUCAGCUAGUGAUUGAAUUAGGCUAUGGUGUAACAGAGAACUCUAAGACAGUAGCUUAAACAAGAUUUUUUUUUUAACCCCUGAGUCUUGCUGCCUUUUUCACAAAGACAAAGCUUUUUCAGAAACUCCCAGCUUAUGUCUCAUUUGCCACAACUGCGUAACAUGGCUAUCUUUUAGCUGUAAGAGAUGCUGAGAAACAUAGUUUUUUUGCUGGGCAUAUUGUCACUGAGCAAAAUCAAAGUUUUAUUUGGAUUAUUGUACUUACAAUUCACCUUUUAUGGCAAUUUAAGUAGUCAUUUGUCAUAGAUUGGAGGAUUUCCUGGAAGGGUGAAGAACUUCUAUAUAGGUUACUUAUUCUGACUAACAUAAAUUAUCCUACCACCACAAUCCCAUAACUCUAAACUUACAGAGAUGUCAUAGAAAACAACAAAUAUACACACAGCUAACCACAAAAGAAAAAGGAAAUCCCAGCUGCCAGAAGUGAAGAAAAAACAGCCAGAAUAGUGAACUCAGCAGCUGAAGGUACACUGACCUAGGUGGAUGAUAGUGUUGGCUGUGGGUCUCACCAAUGGACCCUGAGACUUUAACAGCAAGAGAUAUGGCCUGACUAUACAGGGAAGCUGGGACUGAGACCUACACAAAGCCAAGACCUUAGAAGGUGCUCCAGCCUCAGGAAGGAGGAUGAGCAAACUUCUACACAAUAACCCAGGGAAGCUACAAAGUUGUCUGAACCCAAGACUUUAGGGUGGAGAAAGAGGAAGGUGUCUGUGAGAAAGAGUUGAAGUUUACAUUUCAGUUUUGCUUUCAGAAUAUCCAUGCUUAGCUUAAAAAUGUGAGGCACAUUAAGUUACUGGCUUUAAUAAAGGAAUGAAUGAAAUGUACAGAAGUAUGUGUUCUCGGGGCCUCUUUUAAAGUCAUUAGGGGAAAGAAUUGGCAUAUAUUCAGACGCAUUUGAAGAAAUUAUAUAUUUUUGGAGAUGGAGUCUUGCUCUAUCGCAUGGCAUGAUCAUGGCUUACUGCAGCCUCAAUUUCCUGGGCUCAAGUGAUCCUCCCAUGUAAGCCUCCCGAGUAGGUGGGACCACAGGCAUGUACCACCUUGCCUGGCUAGUUUUUAAAAUUUUUGUAGAGAUGGAGUCUCACUGUGUUGCCCGAGCUGGUCUCGAACUCCUGGGCUCAAGUGAUCCUCCCACCUUGGCCUCCCAAAGUGUUACGAUUACAGUCAUGAGCCACCAUGCCUGGCCUGAAGGAAAAUUUUAAAACAGAAGGAAUAAGCUAGAAUGCAGCACAGAAGAGGUAGAAAAUUGAAAGUAAUUCAUGGAAGAUCCAAUAUACAUAUAUAUUUUAGGAGUUUAAGGAGAAAACAGAAGGUGUGAGGCAGUUGUGAACUAACAGAAUGUGUAGUAUACAACUCUUGGUAGAGAAAUGGUACGCACUGAAGUUUUUGAGGCGUGGGGGACAGGUAGCUUCCUUCUCUCAUGCAUACUCCUGCUGCCAAAUUACCCCCUAACGGCUACGUUAUAAUGAAAACAGUUUCAUGCCAGCUUCUGUUAUAUUAACCGAGCAAGAAAACUGAUCUUAGCAUGUUCUGCAGGCUAAAGGAAAUUGCUCUUGGCCCAUUUAGGUGCUCUAACCACCAUCUUGCCUGAAAGGUUCCUUUAAGAAGCAGAAUUCUAUUACUUUAACAAAAGGUGUGUUCAUGGCUGGACAAGAGCCUUUUAGGGGGUUAGACUAGGACAUCAUCCCAAAAUAUAAGGGCUACAGGCCAUGCUGGAUUCUUAUGGCCUCUUCUUGCAAUGGUGGUAUGUGUUACUCUGCUAUUAGUCAGUCUGAAAACCUUUAAUCUCACCAUCGGAGGCCCAUUUAAAAAAUUACUUUAGCAGGUCACUAAUAAAAAUUUCUACCAUUUAGUAUGAAAAUUAAGACAUUGUAUGUUGAUCAAGAUGCAGUCAACAAUACCUAGAAUAGCUUCCACUAGAGUAUGCAUUCUCUGAUUAGAACACUAGUUCAUCUUCCUAGUGAACUGUUCUAUCAGGAUGGUAGCAAGACUUAAGCGAUGACUUUACAUAAGUUAUGUGUACCACACUGUGUAUACUGGAGUAUUUCCAUGUAAAUUACAGACAACAGCUAUACUGGAAGCAAUAAAUGGCCAAGAAAUUUCCAGAGUUGACCAAAGACAUCAGGAAUGAUACUUGCUUCCAGAAAAAGAACCAAUGUAACAUUGGCUUAAACUGUUGUGCUUUUGCUUUUCUUUCAGAUGUAGGCUGUCCAGGUGUCCGGUACUAUAACUCCACAAGAUCAGUAGGGCCCCAGGCUUUUUCUGUUCUUUAUGAUCCACUCUCUACCAUGUAGCAUUUGUCUUCAAGAUCAAAAAAUGGUGGCUGUAGUGCUCACAUUCCAGAUAAGGAAGAAUGGGCAAGAAACAAAAGAUCCACUCCAAAUGUGAUGGCAAAAUUAAGACUUUUGAGUGAAAAAUGGAAAUUUGUCUUCAGUACAUACACACUGAAAGAAAUGUUGAAGAGAGUUCUUCAGGCAGAAGCAAAAUCAUUCCAAGGGAAAUCCUGGAAUGCAGGAAUAAAUGAAGAGCAAUGGAAAUGGUAAAUAUGUGGGUAAAUUUGAAGGAAUAUUGGCUGUAUUCUGUGGUUUAAAAUAUCUGUGGAAUUAAAAUGCACCUACAAUAACGAGACAGGAGAAGUUUGUACUGGAGUUUGUCCUCAGGUUCUAGCAUUAGGUAGGUAAAUGGUAAGAUUACUUUUUUUAGACUAUGAAGACAAGGGUGCAUGUUGUAAUCUCUUAAGCACUAAAAGGCUAAUAGAAUGUAUACCUAACAAUUUAAUGGAGACAAAAGCAUUUAAAAGAAGGCAA